AUGAACGCUGGCGGCGUGCCUAAUACCUGCAAGUCGAGCGCACGGACGAGAAGCUUGCUUCUCUGAUGUUAGCGGCGGACGGGUGAGUAACACGUGGAUAACCUACCUAUAAGACUGGGAUAACUUCGGGAAACCGGAGCUAAUACCGGAUAAUAUUUUGAACCGCAUGGUUCAAAAGUGAAAGACGGUCUUGCCGUCACUUAUAGAUGGAUCCGCGCUGCAUUAGCUAGUUGGUAAGGUAACGGCUUACCAAGGCAACGAUGCAUAGCCGACCUGAGAGGGUGAUCGGCCACACUGGAACUGAGACACGGUCCAGACUCCUACGGGAGGCAGCAGUAGGGAAUCUUCCGCAAUGGGCGAAAGCCUGACGGAGCAACGCCGCGUGAGUGAUGAAGGUCUUCGGAUCGUAAAACUCUGUUAUUAGGGAAGAACAUAUGUGUAAGUAACUGUGCACAUCUUGACGGUACCUAAUCAGAAAGCCACGGCUAACUACGUG
rnacentral:rRNA from 1 species